rnacentral:rRNA from 1 species
GAUGAACGCUGGCGGCGUGCCUAAUACAUGCAAGUCGAGCGAACAGAUGAGGAGCUUGCUCCUCUGACGUUAGCGGCGGACGGGUGAGUAACACGUGGAUAACCUACCUAUAAGACUGGGAUAACUUCGGGAAACCGGAGCUAAUACCGGAUAAUAUAGUUAACCGCAUGGUUCAAUAGUGAAAGACGGUGUUGGUGUCACUUAUAGAUGGAUCCGCGCCGCAUUAGCUAGUUGGUAAGGUAACGGCUUACCAAGGCAGGGAUGCGUAGCCGACCUGAGAGGGUGAUCGGCCACACUGGAACUGAGACACGGUCAAGACUACUACGGGAGGCAGCAGUAGGGAAUCUUCCGCAAUGGGCGAAAGCCUGACGGAGCAACGCCGAGUGAGUGAUGAAGGUCUUCGGAUCGUAAAACUCUGUUAUUAGGGAAGAACAAAUGUGUAAGUAACUAUGCCCGUCUUGACGGUACCUAAUCAGAAAGCCACGGCUAACUACGUG